rnacentral:rRNA from 1 species
GAUGAACGCUAGCGAUAGGCUUAACACAUGCAAGUCGAGGGGCAGCACAAGGUAGCUUGCUAUCUGGGUGGCGACCGGCGCACGGGUGCGUAACGCGUAUGCAACUUGCCCUAUACAGGAGGAUAACCCGUCGAAAGACGGACUAAUACUGCGUAUGCUCACAACUUGGCAUCAAGUGGUGAGGAAAGAAAUUCGGUAUAGGAUAGGCAUGCGUCCCAUUAGCUUGUUGGUGAGGUAACGGCUCACCAAGGCAACGAUGGGUAGGGGAACUGAGAGGUUUAUCCCCCACACUGGUACUGAGACACGGACCAGACUCCUACGGGAGGCAGCAGUGAGGAAUAUUGGUCAAUGGGCGCGAGCCUGAACCAGCCAAGUCGCGUGAAGGAUGACUGUCUUAUGUAUUGUAAACUUCUUUUAUACGGGAAUAACAAGAGUCACGUGUGACUCCCUGCAUGUACCGUAUGAAUAAGCAUCGGCUAACUCCGUG